rnacentral:rRNA from 1 species
GUAGUCAUAUGCUUGUCUCAAAGAUUAAGCCAUGCAUGUCUAAGUAUAAGCAAUUAUACCGUGAAACUGCGAAUGGCUCAUUAAAUCAGUUAUCGUUUAUUUGAUAGUACCUUACUACAUGGAUAACCGUGGUAAUUCUAGAGCUAAUACAUGCUGAAAACCCCAACUUCGGGAGGGGUGUAUUUAUUAGAUAAAAAACCAACGCCCUUCGGGGCUCCUUGGUGAUUCAUAAUAACUUUACGGAUCGCAUGGCCUUGCGCCGGCGACGGUUCAUUCAAAUUUCUGCCCUAUCAACUUUCGAUGGUAAGGUAUUGGCUUACCAUGGUUUCAACGGGUAACGGGGAAU